rnacentral:misc_RNA from 1 species
CGGAAGGAUCAUUACUGAUUUGCUUAAUUGCACCACAUGUGUUUUUUAUUGAACAAAUUUCUUUGGUGGCGGGAGCAAUCCUACCGCCAGAGGUUAUAACUAAACCAAACUUUUUAUUUACAGUCAAACUUGAUUUAUUAUUACAAUAGUCAAAACUUUCAACAACGGAUCUCUUGGUUCUCGCAUCGAUGAAGAACGCAGCGAAAUGCGAUACGUAAUAUGAAUUGCAGAUAUUCGUGAAUCAUCGAAUCUUUGAACGCACAUUGCGCCCUUUGGUAUUCCAAAGGGCAUGCCUGUUUGAGCGUCAUUUCUCCCUCAAACCCCCGGGUUUGGUGUUGAGCAAUACGCUAGGUUUGUUUGAAAGAAUUUAACGUGGAAACUUAUUUUAAGCGACUUAGGUUUAUCCAAAAACGCUUAUUUUGCUAGUGGCCACCACAAUUUAUUUCAUAACUUUGACCUCAAAUCAGGUAGGACUACCCGCUGAACUUAA